UAACUUGUUAGUCUGCCAUCAUUCAGUUGGGGACUCUAGAGAGACUGCCGGUGAUAAACCGGAGGAAGGUGGGGAUGACGUCAAGUCCUCAUGGCCUUUAUGCCCAGGGCCACACACGUGCUACAAUGGGUGGUACAAAGAGAUGCAAUCUCGCAAGAGCAAGCAAACCUCAAAAAGCCAUCCUCAGUUCGGAUUGGAGUCUGCAACUCGACUCCAUGAAGUCGGAAUCGCUAGUAAUCGCGGAUCAGCACGCCGCGGUGAAUACGUUCCCGGGCCUU
rnacentral:rRNA from 1 species